UACAGAGGGGGCAAGCGUUGUUCGGAAUUACUGGGCGUAAAGGGCGCGUAGGCGGCCAACUAAGUCGGACGUGAAAUCCCCGGGCUCAACCCGGGAACUGCGUCCGAUACUGGAUGGCUUGAAUCCGGGAGAGGGAUGUGGAAUUCCAGGUGUAGCGGUGAAAUGCGUAGAUAUCUGGAGGAACACCGGUGGCGAAGGCGGCAUCCUGGACCAAUACUGACACUGAGGAGCGAAAGCCAGGGGAGCAAACGGG
rnacentral:rRNA from 1 species